UACGUAGGGGGCAAGCGUUGUCCGGAAUUAUUGGGCGUAAAGAGCGUGUAGGCGGUCCGGUAAGUCGGCUGUGAAAGUCCAGGGCUCAACCCUGGGAUGCCGGUCGAUACUGCCGGACUAGAGUUCGGAAGAGGCGAGUGGAAUUCCCCGGUGUAGCGGUGAAAUGCGCAGAUAUCGGGGAGGAACACCUAUGGCGAAGGCAGCUCGCUGGGACGUUACUGACGCUGAGACGCGAAAGCGUGGGGAGCAAACAGG
rnacentral:rRNA from 1 species